UACGGGAGGAUGCAAGCGUUAUCCGGGAUUCAUUGGGUUUAAAGGGUGCGUAGGCGGGCUAUUAAGUCAGUGGUGAAAUCCUGCAGCUUAACUGUAGAACUGCCGUUGAUACUGAUAGUCUUGAGUUUGGUUAAGGUAGGCGGAAUGUGUAAUGUAGCGGUGAAAUGCUUAGAUAUUACACAGAACACCAAUUGCGUAGGCAGCUUACUGAGCCGACACUGACGCUGAGGCACGAAAGCGUGGGGAUCAAACAGGAUUA
rnacentral:rRNA from 1 species